rnacentral:rRNA from 1 species
UACGUAGGCAGCGAGCGUUGUUCGGAGUUACUGGGCGUAAAGGGUGUGUAGGCGGUUGUUUAAGUUUGGUGUGAAAUCUCCCGGCUCAACUGGGAGGGUGCGCCGAAUACUGAAUGACUAGAGUGCGGGAGAGGUGAGUGGAAUUCCUGGUGUAGCGGUGAAAUGCGUAGAUAUCCGGAAGAACACCGGAGGCGAAGGCGGCUUGCUGGGCUCGGUCGUGACGCUGAGGCGCGAAAGCGUGGGGAGCGAACAGG